ensembl:lncRNA
GUCCAGAAACACCAGUUUAUUGGAUACGAGCAUUGUGAAGCUGCUCUCAAAGAAGGGCUCCAAUGUUGGACUGUAAUGAGCUGUCAAGAUGUUUAACAUUCAAUUUAAUACUUAACGGUUGCAUCACCAUCAUAGAAGAAUCAUAGCAAAAUAUUUGGGUAAUAAUUUGAGACAAGGUGAGGUAAAAUCACAAUAUUUAAUUAUUUUCAGAACAAAUGUUACAGUACGUCAUAUAUGCAGCGAUUUAACCCACUCACACAUUUACGUUUUUGGCUUUAAUGCGAAGCACAGCAGCUUUAAACACUUUGCAUGAGAUUUUUUUUGUGAGGUCAUCACAGAUAAAAGGCCAUUUUGGGUUGUAAGCUUUGAUUCAAAGUAAAAAAGUCUUCAUAUUAAAGUGUUGCUGCUGCACCUACAGACAUUACCCGUUAAAGGUUGAGCUGAAACCACCAUCAGAUCUGCCGCCUCAUUCUUCGAUCCUUCCACCGAGCAUCACCCUCCAAGAGAGACAAUCUACAUACUGACGUGCACACGCGUUAAAGGUCCAAAGGUCAGUAACUGGGAGUUGAUGGUUGGGAUCAAGUUGAGCUCUGCUGGCAGCUCUACCAAAGUCUAAAUGUUUUCCAUAUGAAUCCAAUUCUGCUAAUGUGGUUGUGCUUCUUCGUGUCAGUGCAGACUCGUGCGCGGGGCUCGUGCACAUGAGGGUUAGGCUGGUUUGAUGCAAGUCACAGUGAAGCAGGUGGGGGCGGGGCUUGUGUAGCCGGCCCCUCUCAAACUGUAGCCUAACUGGGCCUUGCUCAGGCCCUGAUGACUGGCGGGGGCGUGAGCCCCUCACCUGUGCUAGUCUGGGCUGGGGAGGGGGCGAGGCGGGACUUUCCUCUUUCUCCAUGAGGCGGGAGCAGCAAAUGGAUCUGUUCAUGACUGUUAGAGUGUGUGUGGUCAUGGCAGUGGCUUUUUGUUGUUUCUGCUUCAGGCUGCAGAAGAUGGGCUGUUCCUGUAGUACUUCUUCUGACGAGUGGAGCGACAGCGACAGCGACAGCAGUCUGUCAGACUUCCCAACCUACAUUAGACGGAGCAAGGUGACGGUGGAGCACAGGCAACACACCACCGCAGGAACCAAGCAUGCAUGUUUGGAUGCAGAGCUUAAAGGAGAAAGCCGAGGCAGAUGUGAUGAGGAAACCCUUGAAUCACAUCCCCAUGUGGCGCUGCCCAGACUGAGCACAGGCGGAGAGGAAAACACUCCAGAUGUGUCAAAGCCGUCCAAACUGGUCUGGUCAACACCCGUUAGGCCACCGUCUGUUGCCUUCAUGGUGACUGAGGUGUCAGGUGACCAGCAGAGGCCGACGGUAGAUUCAGAACCGCAACAUGACGAUAAGGACGGCGAAGAGGUACGUCUUGUAAUGACGGAUCCACAUCAAGCGUUCGAAACAAAGACCCACAGAUGCUACAGCAUAUGUUCCAUUGACACCGAUGACCUCGAGCAAGAGCAGAACCAGUGUGCAACAGAUGAGCCUGGUCCAUCCACUGUUCUGCAAACCACUUUAUUACCAACACCUCCUCCUAGACCAGAGGCUGGUUUAUUUCCACCACCUCCUCCUGAACCAGACACUGGUUUAUUACCAACACCUCCUCCUGAACUGUCUCUAUCGAGCGAGGUCAAUGUGCGUCUGACCACGGUAUCCUCACCAGAUAUCGGUCAAGCAACUCACCGUAGAUCCAUCAAAUCCCAGUUUGACUGGCAGGACAAUGUGGAGCUCAAAUGUCUGUGGCUUCCAGCGAAUUCACGCGUAAGAAAAAUCCCGAGCCGAGAUGAGGGCGAUGUGCGUCUGACCACGACAUCCUCACCGGAUACUGUUUCCUGCUAUCACACCGAUGUCACGACCUCGUGUCUCAAUUUCAACAAUCCAGAAAAAUUGUACAGUCAAGAAACUCGCCGUCCAUCAAACAAAUCUGAGUUUGAGUGGCAGGACAAUGCGGAGCUCCAACGUCCGUGGCUUCCAGCGAAUUCACGCGUCUGGAAAAUCCCGAGCCGAGAUGAGGGCGAUGGUCCCUCUGUCCCAAUUUGUUUUUAUAUCGCACCCGAAGGCCUGCCCCCCCCGAGAUCUGAGUGUCAGGAUGCUGGUACUCAAACUUUGCCCCCUGGUGCUGGUGGAGAUGCUUCCACUCCAUCCAAGAUUGACUCCGUCUGUCCUGAGCAGCGGGUGAUGGCUGAAGGGGGUGACAGUGGGGUAAAGACAAAGGCAACAGUGUGGUCCCAGGGCACACCCCAGGCUGGGUUCCCACAGACGGGCAGCGGUGUGGACACCCCAGGGCCAGUGUCGGAGCCCCAGCCCUCCAAGGCUCAGAAUUGUCGGCCAAUGUUAAAUCGGGGUCUGGAGCAGAGAUCAAAGACCAAGGCCGACCACCAACCAGCUCAUCCGCCAGGACAGCAAGUGGGCGCCAAACUGACGUACGCACAGGUCUUGAUGAUGCCCCCACGGAAGCGUGCCCCACCCCCAGACCUUAGCCCCCCCUACCCAGAACAAGAGCACCAACCAGCUGGGACUCGCCGUCCAAUUAAGCUGAGAUAUGCAAGGCUGUGAACGGACCGCUAUGGAUAUUUUUUUUAUAUUAGAAACUGAACAGAAUCUGCACCUCUUCCAAUGCUGCUUUAGGGGAUAUUUUUUUCUUUUAACACACCUGCAUAAUUGAUGCUCAUAAUUCUGAUUUCUUCUAUUAAAAAGCACUGAGCAAUAUGUCUGUUUGCAUCUUUUUUAUCUAAUGUCUUCGCAAAUUUAGAAAUCCAAGACCACCACGUGUCUUUUAGAUCCUAUCCCAACACACCUGUUGAAGGAUGUUUUACCAUUGAUAGGCUGUUCUAUCCUGGACCAGAUCAAUGGUUCUUUAGUGUCAG